UCUGCGUCUCUUAGCAGGGCUCCUGAUAAAGCAGAUGCUUCAGGAAGCUUUGCUUGAUCAAAGAGUAAAUGACACAAGGGAAAUGUGCAUCAUCAGAAUCCAGUUCCCAGUGAGAGUGGGCAGCCUUUAAUUGGAAUUACACAUCAGUUUUCACGUUAUCCUGUAUUUUAGAUAACCAGAAGUCAUUCAUCUUGUUAACUGAAAGUGUGUGCCCUUUGACCAACAUCUCCCAUGCCAUUUUCUGAGAAGCCUUUCUACAUGCUCUGAACCGUCCUUCCAGGGGGAGAUAAGAUCAGAAUUUAUUCAUUGCCUCUGGUCCCCCAUCCAUCAAGCAUGGCUGCAUAGGAUGUAACACUUCAGAUUGCAAGUGUCUGUGCUCCAAGGAGGUCACCUCAGGCAUCUCACACUGCACCAUCAGAAAAGCCCAAGGCAUAAAACAAGAGCUACAUGGCACAGGCCAGGCAAGCUGGUAGAUGC